AACGACCUGAUGUCAGAAGAAGAUACCCUGGAAUUCCUGUUGCAGGAUGACCCAAACGAUCAUGCAUUCAGUAUAAACAUGAACAUGAUGUUGUCCACUAAGCUAAUGGUGGGGAUCGUAGCACUACCCUGCACACAGACAUGGAAUGAAUCUGCCUAGUCCAUUAUCAGAAGAGUGACCGGGACUGUUUGUCCCAUCAGAGAAGUUUCUCGAGAAGCAUGACAAGGGACUUGUAUGAAUGGGCAGAAGAAAUUUUCUUAACUGACUAUCCCAUCAUUGCCUGCUGUUGGAGACUGAACACUUUAUUGAAAAUCGCUGGGGUGUAGCAAACAGUGGGUGUCAUUGCCCUGAGAAGAGUCAGAGAAGUAUUCAUUUUUAUUGGAAAAAGUUUAGUUCAUGUAAAGAGCAUGAAGGCAGAUUUUACAGUUAUCUCCCUUAGACUAUGUAAAUUAUAAUACAGCUCUUGCUAAUGAUGUUAUUUAACUUAUUAAAUGUUGU